ensembl:misc_RNA Metazoa_SRP Metazoan signal recognition particle RNA
GCCAGGCGUGGUGGUGCACGCCUGUAGUCCCAGCUACUUGGGAGGCUGAGGCAGGAGAAUUGCUUGAACCUGGGAGGCGGAGAUUGCAGUGAGCCGAGAUCGCGCCACUGCACUCCAGCCUGGGUGACAGAGCGAGACUCUGUCUCAA